CAGAAGUUCAAGACCACUGAGUAUUUGAUCUCUUUCUUUUUGGAAUUAGUGUUGGAGUACUGUUGAGUCCCUUUGUCUCCAUAUCAUAAACUGAUUGAUACAGUCCUGGACAUUACUGAGAAUUACCUUUCUCCACUUCUUAUGUCAUAGCUGUGGGUGUUACCAGUUUCCCAUGCCUCAUCAGCACAACGUUGAAUUUAGAUAGUAUUGCCUGCAAAAACAGCGUUGUCUAAUCAACAGUGUUUUAAUUUGCUUAGGACUUCGCCAAAAUUAUAUGGUUUGGUUAGUAUUUUUCACACUGAAUUUCAGGUCAGACCUGCUGGGGGUUGUUUGUUCCUUGCAGAGAACAGACUUUGGAGGAGAGAUUUAUUUACAGACUGUGCCCUGCCUUCCGCGAGCACUGGCUGUAUGUAACAGAAGGGGCUAUCCCAGUGGGAGAUGGCUGCUGUGGAAGGCCAGGACUGUCUGCACUGGUGUGUGUGUUGGCAGGAUGCUGUGUGAUGAAGAUAUUUAUUCCUCAAGGCUUUGGUUUUGCUUUAAAAUUCUCCAGGAUUCAAAACAGUUAGAUGCACUAGCCUAGUAAAGUCAAAGUUCCCUCUGCAGAAAUGCCAGAAUUAAGUCUACUUUGGAGCUUGUAAUGUAGCUUCUUGGGCAUGAAGGGAGACUUAAAUGAUGUGCAUCUCUGGAACUCUGUGCCUAUUCCGAGACUGCACCAAAUAUGGGUAACAAAGGGGACUUUUGGCUGCGUUGCCCAUGUCUCUGUUGCAGAAGAUGGGUAGUGCAUAGAAAAUGAGGCAACUGCUGCAGGAAAACCUUGGGUAGCUGCAUGACAAAGGAAUUUGAGCUGUGCUGCUGGACCCCAGACUGAGAAGCAGCAGUUGGUAAAUGAUCCUGCCAGGCCAAGGAGCUGGCAGGCAGUGGGGAAACCUAAUAUAGUGAUCUACAAGUUAGGGGACCUUGGAAAGGAUGGAAAUCAUGCACCUGCAUUUCCCUUACUGAGUAUCUUGGGCUUAAGUGGGACUGUUCCUCAGGUGGCCCACUGUAAGUAGCUCAAGCUAGAUGUAGGCAGAGGAGUGAUAAGAGAGCAAGGAUCUUCAGUUCCUUUAUGGAGUGUGUUAGUAGGGCUCCAGGCAGUAGAAAUUGCAGCUUUAAGUUAAAUGCACCUGGCUGUGGAGUAUCAAUGCAUUUGAUACUCCAGAGGUCUAAUUUAGGCUUCUGUUGCCACCAGAUCUUGUACGCUGCUGUUGUCCACACGCUUCUGUGUUGGUUUAUCUGCUGCCUGUGUAUUCCUGACAAGAGAAAGGCAAAGCUCUUUCACUACAAGUGAAUUUUGAGAAGUUUUGGCUGCUGGGCCAAGAGCUUUCUGAGUUAUUCGCACAGUGCGAGUUCUCAUGUGGGCUUUUUUUUUUUUGUGUGUGUGUGUAGUUCCAUUGCAGUUACUCUGAUUAGAGGCCUAUAGUCCAGUUUGUUUUGUACCUGCUGACCUGAAAAAGCGGAGAUGCUCCAGUUCUUGGGGGUCACUCUCGGGGGGGGGAGCUGGGGUGGCCUGUUGGGCUGCUUUUGCAGUGGAAGAGAAGCCUGUUAUUUGCUAUACUGUUGAUGUUGGAAGUGUAUUUUGCUCAGUGACACUCUGAGCUGCAGCUGGCCCUUGUAUUAAGAUGCUGAUGUGCUGUGCAGUUGAACGCUGCCUGGAUUUAAUCUCUAACCUUUGAUUGUUCUUGAAAGCAUGUUCUAGGGAUUGCAUUCCCACCCACACUGCUACUAUGACCCUUUCCAUUUCCUGGGUGUCUAAGUACAGAACAAAAAAGAUUCAUUAACCUGGCAAGUAACCUCUUUUUAUGGGGGAAGUGAUUUUCUGUCACGCUCUGUUAGAUCCUAUUGAUUUCUGUUUUUCCCCUCUUUGGCCUCUUCUGCCAUAUAUUCUCUUCUUUGUCAUGCUUCAGUUAGGAGGUGAUAUGUGAUAUUCUGUGUUGUGUUUUUGUUUCCUGGGCAGAGAGCUGGGAUCUCCUAAGGCCAUUGCUGAAGUUCCCAAGUUUCUGCCUUUUCUUGGAAAGCUUUUCUGUUAAGGCAGUGCUGACCGCUGGGUCCUGAGGCUGUGCCUGGGUACUUCACAGCUACGCCUCUGCUUUCAGAGCUGAAUCCUUGCAGAUUUGAAGAGCAGGGCUGGACCCAAAAGGUCGUGAGCACAAGUGGCACGCAGUGUUGUGCUUGGCCAUGCGCUUGCAAUCUCUUGUCUCACCUGCAGGCUGGAAGAGGACAUGGGGAUGUGCUGUGUCCCAGGAACAACAGGACAUUCUGUGCAGAAUUUCACAAAAGGAUUGUGGAAAAUGUUUUCUUCCCAACAAGUUCCGCUUUUCCUGUGUACGACUAAUGCAACUAUUUCAAAUAUAAAGUAUUACAGAGGUAAAUGCUAAAUAUAUGCUCUCUGGGCAGGUUACCUCAGCUUUGAGAAGGCUGUUGCUAUUUACUGAUGUAUUAGGUUUUUAGACAGAGCCUUUCUGUGGUUCGAGGCAGACUCACAGAUAUUCCAGUAAGUAACUAGUUGGAGAAAUAGUUUCCCUUCCAAAAAUACACUUUCACUUUUCAUAUUAAUUUAUUAGCUUUAACAGUUCUUGCUAAAUUCCUCUUUUUUAUGUCUGAAUAAUUUAUAGUAGCCCCGUAUAGAAGUAUUGCAACUGAAGUGUCAAAAACUUCAAAUCUAGGGGAACGCUGUUGUUUACUUUAGACGUUUGUUUUAUUGUAAGGAGCUGUAUUGUGAAGAAAUGGUUGGCCUUUAUGCUGUCUGUCCUACUGCUGCUCAGCUUCAGCUGAUCAGAAUUAGGACCUCUGUCCAAAGAGAGAAAUAAAACUCACUACAGCAAGGCUUGUCACUUAGGUUGUGCUAAAGGAAGAUACAUGAAGAACAGUUCCUAUUAAUAUCCAAAUCUUAGUCUGUACUUUCCUUAAAAUAGGCAAUUAAAAAUAGGCUAAUACUGGCUAUAUUGCAGGACAUUUCUCUGUAGUACAAGAAAAACAUUUUAUUGGAGAUUGGCCUUGCACGUGGUAAUGGCUAAAGACAUCUGUCAACAAAGGAGAAGAUUUCUUUGGUGUAAAAUGAUGUGAAACAGGAUUUGAUUCACAGGAGCAUUUUUGACUAAAAUUCCCCAAACUGC